AUUGAACGCUGGCGGCAGGCCUAACACAUGCAAGUCGAGCGAGCGGCGGACGGGUGAGUAAUGUCUGGGAAACUGCCUGAUGGGGGGGGAUAACUACUGUAAACGGUAGCUAAUACCGCAUAUCCUCAGAUAUGUCCAGAUGGGAUUAGCUAGUAGGUGGGGUAAUGGCGCACCUAGGCGACGAUCCCUAGCUGGUCUGAGAGGAUGACCAGCCACACUGGAACUGAGACACGGUCCAGACUCCUACGGGAGGCAGCAGUGGGGAAUAUUGCACAAUGGGCGCAAGCCUGAUGCAGCCAUGCCGCGUGUAUGAAGAAGGCCUUCGGGUUGUAAAGUACUUUCAGCGGGGAGGCGUUACCCGCAGAAGAAGCACCGGCUAACUCCGUGCCAGCAGCCGCGGUAAUUC
rnacentral:rRNA from 1 species